UACGAAGGGGGCUAGCGUUAUCCGGAAUUAUUGGGCGUAAAGAGCUCGUAGGCGGUUUGUCGCGUCUGCUGUGAAAACUGGGGGCUCAACCCCCAGCCUGCAGUGGGUACGGGCAGACUAGAGUGCGGUAGGGGAGAUUGGAAUUCCUGGUGUAGCGGUGGAAUGCGCAGAUAUCAGGAAGAACACCGAUGGCGAAGGCAGGUCUCUGGGCCGUAACUGACGCUGAGGAGCGAAAGCAUGGGGAGCGAACAGG
rnacentral:rRNA from 1 species